rnacentral:rRNA from 1 species
CACUAUAACAUGUUUACUUUAGAUCAAGACUUCUUAAAACUAUGGAAAAAGACAAGCUAAGAAGGGUUGGGCCUGGUAGUACCUGGAUGGGAGACCACCUAGGAAGACCAGGUGCUGUAGGCU